UAAGCGCCUUGGUUCUUUUCCGUCCACGCUGCCGCCGUUUUGGUCACGUGAGCGGAACUGCCUCCUCCACGGCAGCAACGGUACCCUAGCAACCGUUACCAAGGGCCCCGGCACCAGAGGCGGGGAAGAGAUGGCAAUUUAGAGGGGGCGUUUCGGGCGAAGGGUUGAGAUACCUACUAGAGUGCCAUUAUGAGUGACCAGCUUAAAUUUAUUGUUGAGAAGCUCAACAAGGAACCCUUUAAGAAGAACUUCAACUUAAUCACAUUUGACUCAUUGGAGUCAAUGCAGCUGUUACAGCUGCUAAAUGAUGUUCUGGGAGAGAUUGACCCAAAGCAAGUUGUUGACAUUAGAGAAGAGCUUCCAGAGCAAACUGCUAAACGGAUGUUGAGCCUUCUUGGCAUUCUUAAAUAUAAACCUCCAGGAGGCACCAGUGACUUGAGUACGUUCCGCCAGGGUUUAGUUAUUGGAAGUAAGCCUGUCAUUCAUCCUGUCUUGCACUGGCUGCUUCAACGGACAAAUGAGCUGAAGAAAAGAGCCUACCUUGCACGGUUCCUAAUCAAAGUGGACGUGCCAGCAGAGUUCCUUCAAGAUGAUACCGUGUCAGAUACCAAUAGACAGUAUGAAGAGCUGAUGGAAGCAUUCAAAAACGUACAUAAAGAAUGUGAACAGCUGAAGACUUCUGGUUUCUCAACUGCAGAAAUACGAAGGGAUAUCACUGCUAUGGAAGAGGAGAAGGAUCAGCUGAUGAAGAGAGUAGAGCGUCUUAAGAAGCGUGUGGAGACAGUGCAGAAUCAUCAGCGGAUGCUUGAAAUGGCAAGGCAGCUUCGAGUAGAGAAGGAGAGGGAGGAAUCUCUCUCACAGCAGAAGCAAGAACAGAAAAAUCAGCUUUUUCAUGCAGAGCAGAGGCUGCAAAGAGUCCAACUCCAGCUCAAGGAUAUGCGUCAUGCAGCAGUGGAUUCAAAGCCAGAAAGCUUAAUGAAGAGACUGGAAGAGGAGACAAAGUUCAAUACAUAUUUGGUCUCUGAAAAAUUUCCUAGAGAACUGGAAAUAAAGAAGCAGUCGCUGUACUUCUUGCAGAAAGUAGUUGCAGAGCCAGCAAUGGGCCAGACUGAUCUCAACGAGCUUGAAACCAAAAUAAAUGAGGUCAACAUACAAAUCAAUCAGUUGAUUGAGAAGCGGAUGAUGAAAUAUGAACCAAUCGAUAGUAAAUUUUCAAUGUAUCGACAACAGGCCUCCAUCAUUUCCCGGAAGAAGGCAGCCAAGGCCGAAGAGCUUCAGGCUGCCAAGGAAGAGCUGUCCAACCUAGAGAAGCAAAUGUUGCAGAAGUCAAGCCAAGCCCGGGAACUGAAUGGCGCCGAGGUCUUGAAAGGGGAUGAGUUUAAGCGGUAUGUCAAUAAGCUUCGGAGCAAAAAUACGCUUUACAAAAAGAAGCGCCUGGAUAUAGCAGAAAUUACAGCUGAGUAUGGCAUCCUGCAGAGAACAGAGGAGCUCCUAAAACAACGCCAUGAAGAUAUCCAGCAGCAGCUGCAAGCAAUUGAAGACAAGAAGGGUAUCUCUGGAUACAGCUAUACACAGGAGGAGCUAGAGAGAGUGUCAGCCGUGAAGAGCGAAAUGGAUGAAAUGAAGGGUCGGACUCUGGAUAACAUGUCUGAAAUGGUGAAAAAACUGAAUGCUAUGGUGGCUGAUAAGAAGUCAAGCCUUGCUCCGAUUAUCAAAGAUUUAAGGCAGUUGCGACAGAAGUGUCAGGAAUUGACCCAAGAAUGCGGAGAGAGAAAAACCCAGUAUGACAGCUGUGCAGCAGGCCUGGAGAGCAACCGUUCUGCACUGGAGCAGGAGGUGAAGGCCCUUCAUGAAGAGUGUAUUCAGGAGGAAAGCCGCUAUCAUCACGUCAACUGCAUGAAAAAGAUCCUAGAAGUCAGCCUUCAGCGUGCCAAAGACGAGAUGAAGAUGUAUGUUUCUUCAGAUCUGCAGGAAAGAAGAAAGGCAAUCAGGGAACAAUACACGCGGAUGAUCACGGAACAAGAAAACCUUGGAAAGAAACUGCGAGAGAAGCAGAAGAGUGUGCGGGAAAGCCAUGGUCCAAAUCUGAAGCAAGUGAAAAUGUGGCGAGAUUUCAAUCUGCUCAUGGAGUGCAAGAAGGAAUGUUUCCUCAAGCAGCAAAACCAAGCAUCCAUUGGCCAGGUCAUUCAGGAAGGAGGAGAGGAUCGGCUGGUCUUGUGAAUCAAGCUGUUUGCUAUCCUAGCCAUACUGAGCAUCAAUUCUGUUCUGAAAAUUGGUCUAGUUCUACAACUGUUUCUACAAAAGUUAAAUUUCUGGUUGCUGCUUGGAAAAGUCCCAGCCUAAAUAGAAUGGCAAUGGUUUCCCAGUUUGACUGGGAGCCUUUUCAGCCACUCCUUGUAUUAAGGAGAGAAAAUAACACUCAUUCUACAGGUACUGCAGAUGCAAAGUUGCUCUAUCACUUGGAGGCCAGUUUAAGCAGUGGGACGGGCUCCGUGUUCGAUUACUGCAUUGAAAUGGCUUACGGGCAAAGGUCUAGCCCAUGUGUUGAGCUGAAAGCUGGCUGUUUUCACAGAGAGACCAAGGUAAAUGAUACUCCCCAGGCCCAAAAAAAGUUCAGAGUUCUAAUUCUGAAGCUUCUACAUCCAAGCAGCAGGAUAUACUGUGCCAGAAAGCCAAAGUUGCUUCCAAGAAGUCCGCUCACCCCACUUAGUCAUGCACAAACCUGACAUAUUGCUUCCUCUUGGUCCUGGGAAAAGGAUGCUCAUUUAUCUUCCAACGGCAGAGCAGGGUUUAAAUUCUCAGCACGUUUCUUAAACAUGCAUUUUUUUGCUUCAAAGUAUGUGCAGGCCUAUAACUUCAUCAGGUGUCAUCUUUAAAUGGCCACUCCCGCUGGAGAGCUGCACUGGAGUUUAGAAGCAAUAGGCAAAGCUUGGGGAAGCAAAGUGUGGCCAGUUGAUACAAGGGCCUCUGAUCCCUGUCAUUAGACUUCUCAUGAGUCUCCCUGGCUCCCUUGAGAUAAGCAAAGGGUGUGUAAAGAAAAUUUACUAGCUGGACUAAAACUAGUAAAUUUAGUCCUUGGACUAAAACUGAGGUGCAGGAACUUCCAAAAGUUUCUUGCUUCCCUUAGGCCUUUGACCUGUAGCAAAGUCAUUUAGAAACAUAUGAAAAGGAGUUAUUCCAACCUUUUCUAGCUUUGUUAGAACAAUGGCAUUUUAACAUUCCCUGUAGCUUUCUGCUCUCUGCCUAAUUUUUCCUGGUUGAUAUUAAAUUAAUAUAUUUCAUUAAAUGUAGCCACAGAGACAAUAAAGUCUAACAUUCACAUUGUCAUUCUUCUGUCCGCUUGUUCAGUUCCCCAUUGUCCAUACUUAAUAAAGAACAGGAGUUUAUUGGCUGUCAGACUCCACUUCACCUCUCCGAUUUACGCUUUUGAGAAGUCAAAAGGCUUUGCUUUCUGACUCGGGGACAAAUGCUGUCAGAUAUGGAACAGAGGUGAUCUGUAAAGAAACCACACAUAGAGUCCAAGACCUUGCUGCUCUAUUGUCUUACAAUUUAACAAGAAAUGGUGUGACAAAGUUAAGUGCUGAUCUGAAUCGGGAGCUACGGUAUAAACCCUCACCUCCUCUACCAGUGAGAAAACAUGCAUUACUGAAUGAAAAACUAGAGAGCCAUAGAAAGAGCAGGCUGUGAAGAGUGUACAUGAGUUAUGCACCUGUUUUCAACCACCUGUUUGUUGCAUUUAUGCUUUACAUUUUUAGAUAAAUCCCCCCCCCCGGUGGUGCUCCACUUCCUCUACUUCAGCCUUCCCUACUCUCAAAUGAAAAUUGCAGUCUGCAACAUGUGGUUUUGUGUGGGCAAAUGUGAUAAACUUGUACAGUUCUUAAAUGUAUAAAAUAUAUGUCAGAAAUUAUUUGAAAACUUUCAUUUCCAUAUGAUGCAGAUGUAAUGCAAAUAUGCUUAAUUUGAAUAGGUUUUUUCUAAAAAAGAAUUUGAUAUUUGCAGGACCAAAAUGUGAUUUUUAACCCUGAAGACUGAGUGAUAAUCACACUCAUGUCUGCAAAAUCCUGGUCUUCCUUGUUCAUUGUUCCUUGUGCUGGUGGAACCAACAGUAAAGUGUCUGAGUUUUCAAAGGAAGGAUCAGUCAGCCAGUUCCUGAAACUUAGGUCUCUGGGGGAGAUAGAUUAAGCAGGGUCUAAAUUAAAGCACAGUUGGAGGAGAGAAAAGGGUUAGCAUGCUUCUAAGUGUGAGAAAAUGUAUUGGGUGGGAGGAGAGAAAUGUAAAUAGCCAGUGCCCAAGGCGAUCUCAGUGGAAAUAGAGCUGCAAAGUAGCUCCGAUUCUGCCUCUGAGGUAUUUUUUGAGGCCUAAAUAGCAGCUUGAUAGGACUUGGGAGGUUCACUGCCAUUUGAAAAUCCACCCCGGAGCCCUUAAAUCAUAUUUAUUACCCACUAAAUCAUUUAGCCAUCCUACGACACAGCCUGUGGCCACAGCAGUGAGCACUUUUGAAAUCUCAGGCCAGUGGUUAGAAAUAAGACUGAAAUUCCCCUUUCUGGCUUCUCAUGUCAACAGCAGAGAGAUUCGAGGAAGAUUUGGGAUGUAAUUUGCUUUCUCUUCUCCCCCCCCCCCCCAAUCUGCAGAAAGUAGUCAGAUUGUAACAUCUGUUGACAUUUUGCAGAUAAGGUAGGAAUGCCAGUUGCUGGAAACCCUCUUGCCCUGUUUGUGGGCUUCCCCUGGGGGCAUCUGCUUGGCCACUGGGAGAACAGGAGGCUGGACUAGAUGGGCCACUGGCCGGAUGCAGCAGCCAGGUGCUCACCAUUGAUGGGGAACUUCAGGGUCUCUGUGCUUUCUUGCAGGGAAGGGGGUCUUCAACUUCAAACUGGACUGGGGCCAGACAGCUGUUCAAGUGCAGUAUUCUUCCUUCAGCACUGGCACCUAAAAUCACAUAGGCACCUAAAAUCCCAGGUGGAGAUUUAUCAGCUCAGUGAGAACCAGACCCAAGCGCCCUUGAGGAAUGUAGCUCAGGAGCAUCCUUGUAAUCUGCUUAAUAUGCCUAGUGUGACAGCCAACAUCACCAAAGAGGAUGUGUCCAGUUUAAGAAAAUAAUACCUUUGUCAUGAACUCACCAGGUGGCCUGGCACACUCAUUUUCAGCUUCUUCUCCCUCACCUUCAACGUUUCAUGGACAGAGACAACUGUUAACAUGCUCCAGUCACAUCCAUAAAGUGCCUCAGUGUUUGAGGCAGUAUGCCUCUAGAUACCAAUUGCUGGCAACCCCAGGAGGGAAGAGUGCUCCUAUGAUUGGGUCCUGCUUGUGGGCAUCUGCUUGGCCUCUGUGGGAGCAGGAUGCUGGACUCUUCUGUAUGUUUUUAAGCUCCCGUUGCAUCUGCUUGUGUAAGGCUCACCAUUGUUUGUUCUGCAAAAAGGACCUCUGCUCCCGAGGAGGGGGGCAGUCUAAAAUUGAAAGUGGAAAAGGAGAGUAGCAAAGUUCAAAUGGGCGUGAAUGCAGUUCUAGUCAAGCUUGGCUACAGUUGGAGGUAAGGAUUUAAGGAGUUGAAGCCAGGGGUCUCUCAGAAAAGGUACGGUAAUCAUAGCUAGUAUUCUGCUGUCAAGCCAGUGACGAUGUGAAGUCUAAAUGAAGGCAACCUAUAAUCUUGGAACAGAACGGCAUAACAGGCCUGUCCUUUGCGGGAGCUGAGAUCCAUAUUGAUAGAAACAUUCUCAAUCCCUGAGGAUUGCACUGUGAAACCAAGGAAUGGCCUUAGGGCGUAUGAGGCCACCACCUUGCCGAAGCUGAGCAAGCCAGAGCCAGGGCCUGCGGGAACUGCAGAGUGGGAAGGGACCCCGAGGGUCAUCUAGUCCGACCCCCUGCAAUGCAGGGAUCUCAGCUAAAGCAGCCAUGACAGAUGGUCAUCCAACCUCUGCUUAAAAACCUCCAAGGAAGGAGGCUCAAUACCUGGAUGGGUCUCUACCUGGGAACCACAUGUUCGCUACCUUCAGUAACAGAAGGAAGGCAGGAUAUACCUGUAAGAAUAUAGGAAUCCAAAUCUUUAUUGCUUAGCCAGGAGUAUACAGAAGUGCAAUAAAAAUGGAAUGCCAUUCAAAACAUAAUUAAAACUAAGUAAGAGCACCUAUUGCAAUUUCUAUUAUAAUAAUAAUUUCAAAAUUAUAGCACACAUUACAGAAAAGACGCACUUUAGCAACAGAACUGACAGACCCCCUACUGUCUGAUAUAUCGUGGAAAACGCUGGAACCUGUGUAAAACAGGUCUCUUAUAUCUAGGUAAACAGCGUUUCCAUGCGCUUUGGCACUUGUCACAGUCCUCUGUGCCCCAGAAGCGGUUUAGUCCAGCUGGCCACAUGACCCAGAAAGCUGUCUGUGGACAAACGCCGGUUCCCUCGGCCUGAAAGCGAGAUGAGCACUGCACCCCAUAGUCGCUUUUGACGGGACUUAACAUUUUUUACCUUAUAUAUAGGAAUCCAUUUAUUACAAUGAUUGUGCAGGUCUGUAACUGGGUCAUUUAUUUAAUUUUAUUUAAAAUAGUUCCAUUCGACCGCCAAGGCUUAGGUUUGAAAGGGGCAUAUACCAAAAUUUUAAAUCCAUACAGAGAAUUAAAAUCAGAACAAUGGUAAAAGGCAUCAGCAAUAAAAACAGUAAGAACAACUGCAGGGAAACAUAGUCCAAAAGCUUAAAAUGCAAAACCCAUUAAGGAUGCUCUAAAAUGAUCCUAAAUGCCGUCAAAGCUCACACAAACAGCAGUAUGUUAACCAGUACCUAAAGGUCACAGAGAAGAAAGACAGCUGGGCAAAUGGACCGGAGUAAAUGGACAACCAGGGCCCUGCCUUGAAUGCAUUUUUGGUUAAAUUUGUCUCACCUUUCAGUGUAAAGUCAUUCCAGGGCAGGUCACACUAUGCAGUGUUUCCCAACCAGUGUGCCUCCAGAUGUUUUGGGACUACAACUCCCAUCAUUCCUGACCACUGGUCUUGCUAGCUAGGGAUGAUGGGAGUUGUAGUCCCAAAACAUCUGGAGGCACACUGGUUGGGAAACACUGCACUAUAGCAUACUAAAUCACAUAAGAGUUAAAACAGCAAGCAUCACAAUAUGCAGGUAAAUAAAACCAAUCUCCAUGGAGUUUUCUUGGCAGGGAUACUGGAGUGGCUUGCCAGUUCCUUCUCCAGGUGGAUCACAUUUAGUCAAAACUCUCCACUAUGACCUGUCCAUCUUGGGUGGCCGUGCAUGGCAUAGCUCAUCGCUUCUCUGAGUUAUUCAAGCCCCUUCGCCACAACAAGGCAUUGAUCCAUGAAAUUAAAAGACACCUGCUUCUUGGGAGAAAAGCAAUGACAAACCUAGACAGCAUCUUAAAAAGCAGAGACAUCACCUUGCCUACAAAGGUCCGUAUAGUUAAAGCUAUGGUUUUCCCAGUAGUGAUGUAUGGAAGUGAGAGCUGGACCAUAAAGAAGGCUGAUCGCCGAAGAAUUGAUGCUUUUGAAUUAUGGUGCUGGAGGGACUCUUGAGAGUCCCAUGGACUGCAAGAAGAUCAAACCUAUCCAUUCUUAAGGAAAUCAGCCCUGAGUGCUCACUGGAAGGACAGAUCGUGAAGCUGAGGCUCCAAUACUUUGGCCACCUCAUGAGAAGAUAAGACUCCAUGGAAAAGACCCUGAUGUUGGGAAAGAUUGAGGGCACUAGGAGAAGGGGACGACAGAGGACAAGAUGGUUGGACAGUGUUCUCGAAGCUACGAACAUGAGUUUGACCAAACUGCGGGAGGCAGUGCAAGACAGGAGUGCCUGGCGUGCUAUGGUCCAUGGGGUCACGAAGAGUCGGACACGACUAAACGACUAAACAACAACAACAAAACCAAUCUCACACAUGCCCUACGUCUGUAAGCAGGCCCACUGUUAUUUGAUAAGCCUGGCAGAAGAGGAAUGUUUUUAGCUGGUGGCAAAAGCCAGCUAAUAUCCAUGCCAGCCUAAUGCUGGAAGGAAGGGUAUUCCACAGCCAGGGGGCCGACAGCAAAAAGGCCCUAUUAUGAGUCCUAUAUCCCCCCUGCUGCAGGUCGGGGGGGGGGUUGAGCCUGACAGAAUACAGUACUGCCUUGCCCAAGGCCAGCUUGGAAGAUUGAGGCAGAACUGGGGACAGUUUUUUAGCCACUACAUCAGGCAUAAGCAAACUCAGCCCUGUAAAUGUUUUGCUACUACAACUCCCAUCAUCCCUGACCACUGGUCCUGUUAGCUAGGGAUGAUGGGAGUUGUAGUCGGGCCAAGUUUGCCUAUGCCUGCGCUACACCAACACCCAUCAGCUGGUGGGUGGCACCAUUGGACUAUGGUAAUGGAUGAUGGGAUUUGUAGUCCAACCAUCCUGGAAAGGCCACAGAUUCUGCACCCCUGCACUAUACCACAGCAGCUCUACAACUUUAUGAUUCAGCAGAGCCACAUUUUUGCAAGUGUGUGUACAUUUUGCAAAAAAAGCUAGGAGAAAAAAAGAACGCCUUUGAGUCUCAUGGCAGUAUCGAUUUCUGUUCUAUAGCAGCUUAGACAUAAAGUGUGCCUCUUAAUUCUGGAAAGAGGCCUUUGGGCGGGAGAACAUUUCUAUGUGGCCUGAAUGCUCUUCAGCUGGAGCAGAAGCAGCAGAUGGGAAGCCAGAGUUCCUGAGAGGUUCCUUUGCAUUGCCUGAAGCUCCCCUGCCGGUGCUACCUUUGAUAGUGACAGUUAAAAGGAAGAACAAAGAAAGGAACCAGGGACCCCAAAGGAUUGCUUCCCACACACCUGACUUGGUGCUUUAAAAGCCUGGAGGAACUUUCCAGAAAAAUAAAACAAACAGUGGCGUAGCAGGGGAGGCAGGGGGGUAAUGGCCCUGAGCGCAAAUUUCUGAGGGGGCGCAAACAGGCACCCCCAUGACAGGCUUCCUCAUCCAGGCCAGAGGCACAGGAAGGCAAGCCGCGCCCAGGCAGGCCUUCAGGACUGGGGUGGCGCCUCCGCCUCCUCAUGGCUGGCAAAAGGAUGCCCGCCUGCAGCCUGUUUCUGGGCCGGCUUUGCAUUAGAGCAGGCAUGCCCAAACUUCAGCCCUCCAGAUGUUUUGGACUACAAUUCCCAUCAUCCCUAACCACUGGUCCUGUUAGCUAGGGAUCAUGGGAGUUGUAGGCCAAAACAUCUGGAGGGCCGCAGGUUGGGCAUGCCUGCAUUAGAGCUAGUUUGCAAGGAGAGACUCCCUUGAUUAGACACUGGCCGGUGAAGACUGACCGUUGCCCAGUCCACCAUUUGUGUGUGUGUGUGUGUGUGUGUGUGUCCAACACCUGCCCCACCCCGGGUGUCAGCAAUCCACGCUUUGCUCCUGGAAUAAAAUUAAGCUGUUCUGGGUUACGCUUGUGGCCUUUAUAGGCAGCUAUGCAGAAAUCAGCCUAUGAAAGAUUUCACUUGGUAGAGAUAAGCACUGAAUGGCUGCGCAUCAAGCUGCUGAUAAAAGCACAGCCACUCUUACUCUGGCUAGUAGAAAAGUUGGCAACUCCAGGAGAAAAGCAAGGAUCUUUUGAUGCCUCCUCCUCAGUGCAACAAGGGUUGCAUGCCCCCUUUGUUUCUGGAAAGACUUUAAUUGUUCAAUAGUGGGUUGACAUAGCAGACGACACAGCUAUUUCUCCAAAGCAGCUCUUUAUUUGGAAGUUGGAACAGAACUGAACUGAACUGCUGAGCCGGCCUGCUUUUAUAGACGGCUGGCUCAAACAAUGUAUCAAACCAAAUUCAAAGUUCCCUCCUAAAGUUCCCGCCUAAAACAACUGCCAAGGACCUGAGGGAAAACUAUAUACACCUAUACAUAACAUUAACUGUGAUAAGGAUAAGAUAAAGCAGGACAACGUUAAAUUUCUAAAAAGGAAAGCAAUGUCCAAACAAUAGGAAGUUAUUUUUUUAUUUUUCCUUUUUAUUUUCUCUUUGGUACCUUUUUUCCGUUUUUUCCCCUUUCUUUUCCUUUAUUUCAUUAUUUGUAAAUCUGUAUUUGUAUUUUUUUUAAAAAAAUUCUGUAUUACUUUUGUAUUAUUCUUGAGUUGUAUUAUUUUUUGAGUUUUCUUGAAUUUUCUUUGUAUUUUUGUAUUUUUUAAAGUAUGCAAAUUAAGAUUUCUUUCUUUCUUUUUUUAAACAUUAACUGUGACGUGGGCGUGGGUGUGUGGGUUCAUGGCACACAGACGUGCACAUGAGUCAGCGCUUGAGUGCAAGAGUCUGUGGGUGGGGUGGCCUCACCCACUUUUGGCCGCACCCACUGCUGGCACAGAGCCCCUAGAGCAGGGGUAGGCAACCUAAGGCCCGGGGGCCAGAUCCGGCCCAACUGCCUUUUAAAUUCGGUCCGUGGACGGUCUGGGAAUCAGCGUGUUUUUACAUGCAUAGAAUGUGCCCUUUUAUUUAAAAUGCAUCUCUGGGUUGUUUGCGGGGCAUAGGAAUUUGUUCUUUCCCCUCCAAAAAAAUAUAGUCCGGCCCCCCACAAGGUUGAAAAAGGUUGCUGACCCCUGCCCCAGAGGGCUGGUCAAGGAUGAAUGUGGGCAGUCCUUCCUUGGGAUGAAAAGGGUUAGCCACCCCUGCUUUUCAUAUCUGGAGGGCAGGCAGAAAUCCAACAGGCACAGCUUUUCCUCAUCAGCAAAGAAAUCUAACGUGAGCUGGAGCAUUGAAAAGGUGAAGAACCUGGCUGGAGGUAUUUUGCUCGGCACCCACAGGCCGCCUUAAUUAAAUGAGUGCCCUCUUGAAAGUGCUGCCUCAUUCAGCGCUUAAAAGCACCCAGAAAGCCUAAGAAGAUUUCAGCAAAUUCUGAGUCAUUCACUUCUCUGCCAUGCAGUAUUGUUGAGGGAGAGAGUGAGGAGUAUAAUCACCCCAGCAGGGAUUAUUUGGUGCCAGGAUGGAGGCCUGAAGAUCUGGGGUUGCCAGCCUUUUGACAAGCCCUUCAACAUACGGUUUACCUGCAGCAAUUAGCAAGUGAUGAAAUUUAGCUAUGCUGUGUUAAUUUUACAGCUAAUGGGGCCUGCUGCUGACGCAUCAUUGACUGAUUUCUGUGUAUGAAAGUGCUGUUAAAUUCAUAGGUGCAGGGAAAGACAGGACUGCAGAAACAUAGAACUGCAGAAGAUGAUGUAUAGAUGGUAUUUAACACCAGUAAAAUUGGCUAAGAUGUUUAGGAUGAGUAGCAAAAUAUGCUGGAAAUGUAAAGAGAAAGACGGUGAAUUUUAUCAUAUGUGGUGGACAUGCGACAAAAUUAAAAGAUUUUGGGAAAUGAUAUAUAAUGAAAUGAAAAAGAUUUAUAAAUAUACUUUCCCCAAAAAACCAGAAGCUUUUUUAUUAGGAAUUAUAGGACAAGAGAUAAUGAAAAGAGAUCAAGUAUUAUUUAUGUACGCGACAACUGCGGCUAGGACUUUGUUAGCCCAAAAAUGGAAAACUCGGGAGUUACCGACGAUUGAAGAGUGGCAGACGAAAAUGAUGGACUAUGCAGAAUUAGCAAGACUGACUAGCAGGAUCCGAAACCAGGGAGAGUCAAGGUUCCAAAAGGACUGGAGUAAAUUUGUGGACUAUAUGGAGAAGAACUGUAUAAGUUUAAAAACACUUGCAGGACUGAAAUAAAUCCUACGAAUCGACUUUAAGUAGAUGAAAUAAAGGAACUGCGAGAUAGGAGUGAAUAAGAAAACCGAAUGGGGGGAAGGAGGGAAGUCAAAGCUCGGCAGAGCAAAGAAAAUCGUAAGGAUUGAUAAGAUGUUAAGAAGAGAAAUUUUGUGUUUACUAUGUUUAUUAUGUGUUGUUGUGUUUGUGAUUGUAUGUGUGGUUUGUUUUUGUUUAAAUGUGUUUAAUUGGAAAAUCUAAUAAAUU